ACCCCCCCCAAAAAAAAAAAAAAAAAAUCAGGCCCAAUCUGCGGGGGGAGAAACGGCUGAGCCGUUUGACCCAUCACCGAUGAAACGUUACUGGUGUUUCUCCCUCCAGACGAUGCCGCGCCCAUUUAAUGGUUCCCUCGACGAUCGACAAGUAAUUCUCUAACUGCUGAUCAAGAUAUUUUCUUACUUGUGUAACUACGUGACUUUAAUGGGAUUCAUAAAAUAGUCUUGUGUAACU